AUUACCUUCUUCCCAUCUUUUUUUCAGUGGGAGCUUGUGUUGCCUCUUCCUCUCCAUAAGCACUGGGCAAGGACCAGAAGGGACUGAAGACUUAAGCACAGGGAAAGGACCGGAAGGCACUGAAGACUGAGGCAGCAGAAGUGGCUCGGUCACCUUGAGCCUAGUUUGAGCACAGGAGACCUCAAAGCCCACUCCCACAGUGACAGGCUUCUUCCACCAAGGCUGCACCUCCUUCAACAGUGACACACAACAAGGCUGCACCUAUUUCAAUGAAGGCACACUCCCUGAUGGUGGGGACCAUUCGCUUUUCAAGCCACCACCAUCUGUGAGGACAUUUCCAGAGAGCUUCAACUAAGGGGCAAAGACCCACUGUGAAUGGGUGCAAUUGACUUUCAAACUCAGACAUCAUUUCUGAACGCCUGACCCUACAAUGAACAGCCUUUCUCCAACACAGCCAAGGUGUACUCGGAGCCUCUCUGGCUCUUUAUCUUCUUAAUAUAAGUGACCUGGGUUGUGUCAAAAUGACAGUUAAAUUAAUCAUCACAAGUACGUAGAAGAGAGCAAUGAAUAGAGAAAUCACCAUCAUCUUCAUCAUCAUCUUGCAUCUGCUACCUUGAGGAUAGCAACAAUAUAAACAUUAAACUUCUUUUUCACAGUGGAAUUUUCUGAUAUAUU